AAAGCAUGCAUUGGGCAUUUGUGCAACAAAUACUAAAAUUGUUCUCAUUCUUCAUAAAGGUUCUUGUCCUCCAUUUGUUUGAAACAUGUAAGAUCAUUCCUCAAUUU